rnacentral:rRNA from 1 species
GAUGAACGCUGGCGGCGUGCCUAAUACAUGCAAGUCGAGCGAACAGACGAGGAGCUUGCUCCUCUGACGUUAGCGGCGGACGGGUGAGUAACACGUGGAUAACCUACCUAUAAGACUGGGAUAACUUCGGGAAACCGGAGCUAAUACCGGAUAAUAUAUUGAACCGCAUGGUUCAAUAGUGAAAGACGGUUUUGCUGUCACUUAUAGAUGGAUCCGCGCCGCAUUAGCUAGUUGGUAAGGUAACGGCUUACCAAGGCAACGAUGCGUAGCCGACCUGAGAGGGUGAUCGGCCACACUGGAACUGAGACACGGUCCAGACUCCUACGGGAGGCAGCAGUAGGGAAUCGUCCGCAAUGGGCGAAAGCUUGACGGAGGGGCGCCGCGUGAGUGAUGAAGGGCUGCGGAUCGUAAAACUCUGUUAUUGGGGAAGAACAAAUGUGUAAGUAACUAUGCACGUCUUGACGGUACCUGGUCAGAAAGCCACGGCUAACUACGUG